rnacentral:lncRNA from 1 species
UUUCGAUGUAGCCUUGCAAAAUUACUCUUUGUUAUUAAGUUAAAGUAUUCAAAUUACCAAUUUGUGUUCUUGUUUCAUUCACUGAUUUUAGAGUUUAAUUUGUUUGUUAUUCUUGAUGUUUGAUCACCAUUAGAGCUGCUUAUCAAUUAUUUGAUCAAGGUUAUAGUACACAUCAUGCUUAAUCUUGGUAGACAUGUAAAUGGUUGAAGAAACUGCUACGCAUACAUCAUACCAUGUGAUUUCUUUGGUUCUUUGAAGUUUUCUUGUUCUUAAUGGAUUCUUAUUUGGUAAUCUAAGUUGAACAUCACAACUAGGUUGUAGAUUAGCAGUACUUGAUCACAACCACACAUCAAAUGAAUGAUCAUAAAUGAGUAAAACGAACCCUAGUUGCAGAUUGGAGAGUUGAAUGCGUUUUGACUUAAUUUCAUGGAAUUGGCUUGUAAUGGUGAAAUCGGUAUCCCUAGUUCCAUUCCCAUCAUUUCUGAAUCAUUCUGUUAUUCAUAUUUACAUUCUCUUGCAUUUUAAGUUUA